AUCCAGAGAGCGUGAAACACCUGUCAGAAGAGCAACAGAGUCAAGCUGAAGUUAGCGGGUCUCCUUCACCUCCCUGGAUUACAAACAGAUUUAUUCCAGCUUUUAUAAUGAUGGUUGGAAAAUAUAGCCCGCCAUUACAAGCAAAAAGACAAACAUUUUUGAACAAGAUGCUGAAAAUGUUAGCAACCAGCCUUCAAUUCCUACUGUAAUGAAUACACUGUGUGACAUUCAGCGUCAUUUAAAAGCAUGAAUUUGCAUACUGGAACUUUUGUACGUCCGUUUCCUGAAACAGACGCAGCUAGCAGCACAACUGAAGAUGCAGAUGCACUUGGAACAGCAGCACAAAGUCAUAGUCAGUUAUCUGCGAUGCCUUUUGGCUCUGCAGCUGCUAGAUUCAAAAUACGCUCUGCCAAAACACUUACUACCAAGGACCUCAGGACGAAAAGCUUUUUUUUUGAGGGUGGAAAAGUUGAAGAUUUAAGCCAGAAAAGUGAUCCUAGUAAGGACCUCAACAAAGCUUGUACUUCUUCAGCUAGUGAUACCCACACUAACACUGAUGGCAAAGAGACAGGUAACACUUUAAGUAAGGAUACAAGCAAGGACUCAACUCUUCCCAUCAGUUCUGAGAAGGGUGAUGUGAGCGCUAAGAAGUUAAACACUCAAGAAGACAAGAGUAAGGCAGCAAGUGACAGGAGCAAAGGAGAUGUAUUGAGGAGAUCUUAUCAGUCAAACAAAAGCAAAAGCUUAGACUGGAGAGCAGGACAUGGGAAUAGAAUUUGGAUGACUAGUGGGACUAGAGACCUUGAAAAUUUUAUGAGGCGAUCCGAUUUAGAGAGAACCGGGAUAAACAACAAGAUAACUUCAUACACGCAAGAGAAUCAACCCAGUAGUGUUUCACGAAGGAGUCAGAAUUACAAUGCAGCCAAUCAAGACAAUCAGAACAGUGACAGAAAGGAUUGCUCUGGAUCUCCAUCUGUGAGAAUGAACCAAGUAAAUUUUGCUCUUGAACAGGCAAACAGUGGUCAGUCACUCCCAUCCAGAUUGAAGCCAAGACUUAGCCAAGGUUCCAUUGGAGAAGGUAGCAGUCUCUGGGCACAGCAACAAGGUGAAUCAAGUCUUGAUCAGACAGAAAACAGAAUGGGAUCCUGGGCCAGAGAGCAAGGAUCUUCCAAUGCAGAGGAAAUAACUGGAAAUCAAACAAUAAUGGAAAGAAUUGCAAAACUGUUUGGAGUAGAUGCCAACUCUGAUGCACACUCAAAAGAUUCAAUCAGAGUAAAACGCAGCAAUACUGUAAAUUCUGAUGAAUCCUUUCCCAAAUCAAUGGACACGGUGGACUGUACUCCAAGACACAGAAAAUACACUACUGACUAUGUGUUUGGAGCUUCUUUAGAUUGUACUGACAGCCAAC
rnacentral:lncRNA from 1 species